AUCCUGGCUCAGGAUGAACGCUAGCUACAGGCUUAACACAUGGCAAGGUCGAGGGGGUAACAUGGUGGGAGCUUGCUCCUGCUGAUGACGACCGGCGCACGGGUGAGUAACGCGUAUCCAACCUGCCCCAUGAGUCAGGGAUAACCUUCCGAAAGGGAGCCUAAUACCUGAUGUUGUGCGAUGAUGGCAUCAGAGUUGCACCAAAGAGUUUCGCUCAUGGAUGGGGAUGCGUAGGAUUAGCUUGCCGGCGGGGUAACGGCCCACCGGGGCAACGAUCCUUAGGGGUUCUGAGAGGAAGGUCCCCCCACACUGGUACUGAGACACGGUCCAAACUCCUACGGGAGGCAGCAGUGAGGAAUAUUGGUCAAUGGGCGAGAGCCUGAACCAGCCAAGUAGCGUGCAGGACGACGGCCCUAUGGGUUGUAAACCGCUUUUGCAGGGGAAUAAAGUGGCCCACGUGUGGGUUUUUGCAUGUACCCUGAGAAUAAGGACCGGCUAAUUCCGUGCC
rnacentral:rRNA from 1 species